GACGAACGCUGGCGGCGUGCUUAACACAUGCAAGUCGAACGGAAAGGCCGUGCUUUUUUGGGGUGCUCGAGUUGCGAACGGGUGAGUAACACGUGAGUUACCUGCCCUUGACUUUGGGAUAACUUCUUGAAGCUGGGGCUAAUACCGGAUAGGAGCUCCUGCUGCAUGGUGGGGGUUGGAAAGUUUCGGCGGUUGGUGGUGGACUCGCGGCUUAUCAGCUUGUUGGUGGGGUAGUGGCUUACCAAGGCUUGGACGGGUAGCCGGCCUGAGAGGGUGACCGGCCACAUUGGGACUGAGAUACGACCCAGACCACUACGGGAGGCAGCAGUGGGGAAUAGUGCACAAUAGGCGGAAGCAUGAUGCAGCAACGCAGCGUGCGGGAUGACAGCCUUCGGGUUGUAAACCGAUUUCGCCUGUGCCGAAGCGUGAGUGACGGUAAUGGGUAAAGAAGCACCGGCUAACUACGUG
rnacentral:rRNA from 1 species